rnacentral:rRNA from 1 species
AUUGAACGCUGGCGGCAUGCUUUACACAUGCAAGUCGAACGGUAACAGGCCGCAAGGUGCUGACGAGCGGCGAACGGGUGAGUAAUGCAUCGGAACGUGCCCAGUCGUGGGGGAUAACUACUCGAAAGAGUAGCUAAUACCGCAUACGAUCUAUGGAUGAAAGCGGGGGACCGUAAGGCCUCGCGCGAUUGGAGCGGCCGAUGUCAGAUUAGGUAGUUGGUGGGGUAAAGGCUCACCAAGCCAACGAUCUGUAGCUGGUCUGAGAGGACGACCAGCCACACUGGGACUGAGACACGGCCCAGACUCCUACGGGAGGCAGCAGUGGGGAAUUUUGGACAAUGGGCGCAAGCCUGAUCCAGCAAUGCCGCGUGCAGGAAGAAGGCCUUCGGGUUGUAAACUGCUUUUGUACGGAACGAAACGGCUCUGGUUAAUACCCGGGGCUAAUGACGGUACCGUAAGAAUAAGCACCGGCUAACUACGUG